rnacentral:rRNA from 1 species
GAUGAACGCUGGCGGCGUGCCUAAUACAUGCAAGUCGAGCGAACAGACGAGGAGCUUGCUCCUCUGACGUUAGCGGCGGACGGGUGAGUAACACGUGGAUAACUUACCUAUAAGACUGGGAUAACUUCGGGAAACCGGAGCUAAUACCGGAUAAUAUAUUGAACCGCAUGGUUCAAUAGUGAAAGACGGUUUUGCUGUCACUUAUAGAUGGAUCCGCGCCGCAUUAGCUAGUUGGUAAGGUAACGGCUUACCAAGGCAACGAUGCGUAGCCGACCUGAGAGGGUGAUCGGCCACACUGGAACUGAGACACGGUCCAGACUCCUACGGGAGGCAGCAGUAGGGAAUCUUCCGCAAUGGGCGAAAGCCUGACGGAGCAACGCCGCGUGAGUGAUGAAGGUCUUCGGGUCGUAAAACUCUGUUAUUAGGGAAGAACAAAUGUGUAAGUAACUAUGCACGUCUUGACGGUACCUAAUCAGAAAGCCACGGCUAACUACGUG